rnacentral:rRNA from 1 species
AGGGUUCGAUUCUGGCUCAGGAUGAACGCUAGCUACAGGCUAACACAUGCAAGUCGAGGGGCAUCAUAACGGAAGCUUGCUUCUGUUGAUGGCGGACCGGCGCGACGGGUGAGUAACGCGUAUCCAACCUUCCCUAUAGUAGGGGAUAGCCCGGCGAAAGUCGGAUUAAUACCCUAUGUUAUUCAAUGCGGACAUCUAAGUUGAAUCAAAGGCUUGCCGCUAUAGGAUGGGGAUGCGUCUGAUUAGCUUGUUGGCGGGGUAACGGCCCACCAAGGCGACGAUCAGUAGGGGUUCUGAGAGGAAGGUCCCCCACAUUGGUACUGAGACACGGACCAAACUCCUACGGGAGGCAGCAGUGAGGAAUAUUGGUCAAUGGGCGCGAGCCUGAACCAGCCAAGUAAGCGUGCAGGAUGACUGCCCUAGUGGGUUGUAAACUGUCUUUUAGUAGGGGAAUAAAGUGAGGUACGUGUACCUUUUUGUAUGUACCCUAUGAAUAAGGACCGGCUAAUUCCGUGCCAGCCGCCGC